CCCUAGAUCCAUAUUAAAAAAUCUUGGGCUACAUGCAUAUUUACUAGCACAUUAUUUGAAUUUAUUUUAAGUUAUGAAAUACAACAGCAAUGGUUAGUAAUAAUGAUAGAACCUUGGGGAAGUUUUUGAAUGAAAGUCAGAGUUGUGGUGACUGAAACAGCAAGUAUGCUACUAGUG
rnacentral:sRNA from 12 species